AUACGGAGGAUCCAAGCGUUAUCCGGAUUUAUUGGGUUUAAAGGGUGCGUAGGCGGGCCCUUAAGUCAGCGGUGAAAGUUUGCAGCUUAACUGUAAAAAUGCCGUUGAAACUGUCGGACUUGAGUGUAAAUGAGGUAGGCGGAAUGCGUGGUGUAGCGGUGAAAUGCAUAGAUAUCACGCAGAACUCCGAUUGCGAAGGCAGCUUACUAAGCUACAACUGACACUGAAGCACGAAAGCGUGGGGAUC
rnacentral:rRNA from 1 species